rnacentral:rRNA from 1 species
AGUGAACGCUGGCGGCGUGCUUAACACAUGCAAGUCGAACGGUAAGGCCCUUCGGGGUACACGAGUGGCGAACGGGUGAGUAACACGUGGGUGAUCUGCCCUGCACUUCGGGAUAAGCCUGGGAAACUGGGUCUAAUACCGGAUAGGACCACUGCCUGCCUGGGGGGUGGUGGAAAGCUUUUGCGGUGUGGGAUGGGCCCGCGGCUUAUCAGCUUGUUGGUGGGGUGAUGGCCUACCAAGGCGACGACGGGUAGCCGGCCUGAGAGGGUGACCGGCCACACUGGGACUGAGAUACGGCCCAGACUCCUACGGGAGGCAGCAGUGGGGAAUAUUGCACAAUGGGCGCAAGCCUGAUGCAGCGACGCCGCGUGAGGGAUGACGGCCUUCGGGUUGUAAACCUCUUUCAGCACCGACGAAGCGCAAGUGACGGUAGGUGCUGAAGAAGGACCGGCCAACUACGUGCCAGCCGCCGCUGUAA